GCGGGUGUGUCUUAGUGGUUGAGCGCCGGAUUGCCAGUCCGGUCAUCGGAGUUCGAUUCUCCGCACUCGCUCCA
rnacentral:tRNA from 1 species